CAGCAGCCGCGGUAAUACGUAGGGUGCAAGCGUUAAUCGGAAUUAUUGGGCGUAAAGGGCUCGCAGGCGGUUUCUUAAGUCUGAUGUGAAAGCCCCCGGCUCAACCGGGGAGGGUCAUUGGAAACUGGGAAACUUGAGUGCAGAAGAGGAGAGUGGAAUUCCACGUGUAGCGGUGAAAUGCGUAGAGAUGUGGAGGAACACCAGUGGCGAAGGCGACUCUCUGGUCUGUAACUGACGCUGAGGAGCGAAAGCGUGGGGAGCGAACAGGAUUAGAUACCCGCGUAGUCCCUGUCUCUUAUAC
rnacentral:rRNA from 1 species